rnacentral:rRNA from 1 species
GCGAUCAUACCAGCACUAAUGCACCGGAUCCCAUCAGAACUCCGCAGUGAAGCGUGCUUGGGCGAGAGUAGUACUAGGAUGGGUGACCUCCUGGGAAGUCCUCGUGUUGCACCCC